rnacentral:lncRNA from 1 species
UUGGUGGGCAUUUGGGCUAGUUCCAUAUUUUUGCAAUUGCGAAUUGUGCUGCUAUAAAUAUGCAUGUGCAAGUGACUUUUUCAUAUCAUGACUGAUUUUCCUCUUGGUAGAUACCCCAGGAAUUUUGCAUCUAUGUUUCUGAUGGAGAUUGAUCCAUAAUUUUAUUUUCCUGUAAGAUCUUUGUCAACUAUAGGUUCAUGCUGGUCUCCUAAAAUGAGUUUGGAAGGGUUCUCUCCUCUUCUAUUCUUCUGAAAGGGUUUCUGUAAAUUCUAUUAUGCCAUACUUAAGAGUUUGUUAGAAUUAACUAGUGAAAGCAAUUGAGUCUAGAGAUCUCGUCUUUCUGGGAGAUUUCUUCUUUCUGGGAGAUUUUUGACUACAAACCAAUUUCCUGUAUAGACUUAAGACUCCUCAGAUUUUACUCCUCCUUGUGUUGGUUUCAUAAAGUUAUCUUUAAGAAAUUUGCAUAUUUUAAACUAGUUAUUCAUAAUAUCCUUGUGAUGUAUGUAAGAUUUGUAUCUCACUUCAUUCCUGAUACUGGAAUGAAAUUCGUGCAUGUGUGUGUUUUUCUUGAUCAGUCUUGAUAGGGGUUAUCAAUUAGAGAACGAACUUUUGGCUUUGCUGAUUGUUUUCCCUUUCAUUGAGUUUUGGUCUUUAUUAUUACCUUCCUUUACUUAUUUUAUUUAAACAUGCUUUUAUUUUUCUAUGUUCUUAUGAUUAAAAUUUAGAUAGCUGAUUUGAAACCUUUCUGCUAAUAGAGGCAUUUAAAGUUAUAAUUGUUCUUAGCUACAUCUCAUACAUUUUGGUUUUUAAUUUUCUUUAAAAAUGAAGAGAUAGCAUCUCCCUAUGGCUGGUCUCGAACUCCUGGGCUCAAGGGAUCCUCCUGCCUUGGCCUCCCAAAGUGCUAGGAUUAUAGGCAUGCACCACCAUGCGUGGCCUGCAUCCCAUACAUUCGGAUACAUUGUGUUUUCACUAUCAUUCAGUUCAAAAUAUUUUCUAAUUUCCUUUGUGUUUCUUUUUUGACUGAUUGGGUUAUUUUGAAGUAUGUUGUUUAAUUUCCCAACAUAAUUUUGAGAUUGUUAGGCGUAUUACCACUGUUGAUAUGCCAUUCCAUGUCUGUGUGGUCAGAGAACACAGUCUGUAAUAUUUAAAUCUUGAAAUUUAUUUUAUAGCCCAGCAUGUGAUCCAGCUUGAUGAACAUUCCAUGUGCACGUGACAAGAAUGGAUAUUCUGCUGUUGUUGGCUGUAGUGUUCUAUGUCAGCCAUCCCUGUGGGGGUGUCAGUGAUGCUUGGACUCCACUAACUGCACCAUUGUCCUACUCCAUCUCCUUUGAGCCUGCUGUCAACCUCUGCACACAUGGCCUCAGCCCCUAGCCCUGGAUGACCACCAUUAGACCCAGCAGAACGGCAGCAGUGGUUUGCUGGCCCAGCACCUAGAGCUGCAGAAUAUGCUCCCUUGACCCUCAGGGAAAGAUGCAGAGCUAGUGAGACUUACUCUCCUCCACCACCAAAGUGAAGGACAUUUGUCAUUGGAUUUAGGGCCCACCCAGAAUCCAGGAGGGGCUCAUCUUCAGAUCCUUAAUGACAUCUACAAAGACCCUUUAUCUAAAUAGGUCAGAUUCACAGGUCCCGGCGGUUAGGACAUGGACAUACGUUUUUGAGGGCGCCAUUCAACCCGCAACGGGAGCCAUCACAUUCUCAUUUCUCCUUCCUUAAUGUUCUCACGGGCCCAGCACACAGGCCAGGAUGGAGCAUUCUUUGAGGUGUUCCUGGGAGCCCAGCAACAGACUGGGUGUUCAGUGUGCCCCUGUCGGUCUCCACGUGGGCCCUGCAAGAAGGAGCCACCCCCGUUUUACGGGGGGUUCAGGGCUUGUGGCCAGAUGUGCAGCUAGGCCUGGAUCAGGCUCCCGUCCGGCCCCAGUGCGUCUGCCGUGCCCGUGACCCCAGGCUGUGUCUCUCAGAAUCCGCCAAGAUUCCAGGGCAGGUAACUGCAGAGCUCCCCCGAGUCCUGUGCACGCCUCGGCUCACACUGCAGCUCAGCAGCAGCAACGCGGGUGACAGAAACCAGCUCUGUGUCUGUGAGCCUCUGCCUCACCUUCUGGGGGAUGGCACAGUAUUGCUCCAAGACAUGCAAACAGCUGCGGGCAGCAGAGACAGUGAGGCAACCCUGCCACACUCUCCAACCAUGCCCUCCUCAGGCAUGCGGAGAAAGCACCCCUUCAUCUGUGCAAGGAAUCCUCAAGCAGCAGACAAAAUUCAUGCACUGUUAAUUCAGAUGUUACAGUCACAUCCAGUGCUAAGGGCUGUCCUUUGAAAACAGCUGAGGUAGACACAUCUUCCAAGAACAAAUCAUAGAAAUGUUACCAGGCGAUUGUCUUCACAACCUCUGCAUCAGUGAUGGGGACUUGGGGGUAAGCUUUUGGUUGGCGUUGUGAACAGUGCCAGCUCCCUAAAGCAAGCUUGCUUUUCUGUUGUUUGAAAUACUGCAGGAGAACUGAAAUUCUCUUAAAAUAUACCGGUUUCUGGUUCAAGAGAAAUACUUUUUUGCACCAAUUUAAUUCAGGUUUCUAAAGCCGAGGCAGGGAUGGCAUCACAGUCUGUUGAAUGAAUUCCAGCUCAUUUGGGGCCUUUCCAUGACAAAUCAUUCCUAAUGGAAUCUCUCCAAAGCACAGGGGAAAAAAUCGAAGGCAUCAAAGUGCCCUUUCCAUUUCAAUAAACUCCACUGGCCAGGAUUCUGUUUGCAUAACACAGAAUAAACAUGGAACCCAGGCCUGCCCAGCACAUUUACUCCCUGGUUAGCACCUCUGUUCACCUGUUUUCUCUUUUAUAUGAGUGACCAUUUCCUAAAACGCAAUCAAUCAAUCACUGUCAAGUAAGAUCUUGAAAUUAUCACCAUGGAGAAAAGACAUGAAGAGUCUGCAUUAAGGUAACGUGACCGGUGCCUAGAGUGAGGAAGGAGCACGUUCAGAAUGGUCCCGGGUCAUUUUCAAGACCUUCCCCCCGUCACUGUUGGAUGAAGUAAGGAGCCGGACAUCAGUGUUUAUUAAACCAGAUUUAUUCUCCACAAGCUGAAGAUACCUGAGGUUACAUGAGGACUGGCAUUAAAUAAUUUAUAAAUGUAUUUUUGACUGACAGACUUUUAUCAUAAGGAUUCAUGUGUUUACAAAAGCAAAAUCCAACCUCUCCAGAGCUAGAAAGUGGGAAGGUGCCCGGGCUGCAAGCACAGCCUUGGGGGAGGAUGAGGCCACAUAAUUCUCUCUGCCCACACUCUCAGAAUGCCCCAAGAAGUUAGUAGCUACACAAAGCCAAGCCUUGGGGGAAAACCUGGUCCGUGGUGUGGACUCUCCAAAAUGCAGACCCAACCGGAGGCCGGGCCCGCCUUUCCAUCUGGAGGCACUGCAGGGCUUCUGAAAGCGGCCCAUCCCAGGAGCCUGGCAAACACCCCCAGAGACCCUCAGGAUGCGCCAGCCCCGGGGCUUUGUCCUGAGAAGCUGGAGCUCCGUGGCCCAGCUUGUGGAUGGGUGCCCAGGGGGCAGGCCCCAUGCCCUCAGCACGUGCUGACACGCUCCCUCCGGCUCCAACAACCACACCAGAACCUUCCGUAGAACAUUUAAGUAAUGAAGUCUCAACAUUACAGUAAAAAGGUGCAAAGGGUCUCUUUUACAAAUAUUUAUGUACAGCCAAGAUCUUGUUGAGUUCAGUAUAGCAUGCUGCGCGUACACAUACGCAGUGUGCACACGGAUUCAGGGAACUGAGCGGCACACUGAAGACGAGAUCACACGUGUGCACACGGAUUCGGGGAACUGAGCGGCACGCUGGAAGACGAGAUCACACAUGAUGCUAUUUUACUUUUGAUCCCAUGUGCUUUCCUGGGCAUGAUAUUUUAGAUGGAACUUUUUCUGGUCUGUGAUCUUUGGUAGAAAAAAGGUCUCUAGGAUUAUUAUAAAAAUGUUGCAUCUAUUAAAAAGAAAAGG